AAAGCAUGAUCGAGCAAGCGGCGGACGGGUGAGUAAUGUAUGGGGACUGCCCGAUAGAGGGGGAUAACUACUGGAAACGGUGGCUAAUACCGCAUACUAUCGUAUAACCCAUAUUGGAUUAGCUAGUAGUUGGGGUAAAGGCUCACCUAGGCGACGAUCACUAGCUGGUCUGAGGGGAUGAUCAGCCAUACGUGGACCGGGAAACGGCCAAGACUCCUACGGAGGCAGCAUUGGGGAAUAUGGAAAAAUGGGCGCAAGCCGGAUGCAGCCAUGCCGAGUGUAUGAAGAAGGCCUUAGGGUUGUAAAGUACUUUCAGCGGGGAGGCGUUACCCGCAGAAGAAGCACCGGCUAACUCCGUGCCAGCAGCCGCGGUAAUUC
rnacentral:rRNA from 1 species